rnacentral:rRNA from 1 species
ACUAAAUAGAUACCCAGGUAGUCCCAGCUGUAAACGAUGCAGACUCGGUGAUGAGUUGGCUACAUGCCAUCUCAGUGCCGCAGGGAAGCCGUUAAGUUUGCCGCCUGGGGAGUACGGUCGCAAGACUGAAACUUAAAGGAAUUGGCGGGGAGCACCACAAGGGUGAAGCCUGCGGUUCAAUUGGAGUCAACGCCGGAAAUCUUACCGGGGGCGACAGCAGUGUGAAGGUCAAGCUGAAGACUUUACCAGACAAGCUGAGAGGAGGUGCAUGGCCGUCGCCAGCUCGUGCCGUGAGGUGUCCUGUUAAGUCAGGUAACGAGCGAGACCCCUGCCUCUAGUUGCUACUAUUAUUCUCAGGAGUAGUGGAGCUAAUUAGAGGGACUGCCGUCGCUGAGACGGAGGAAGGAGGGGGCUACGGCAGGUCAGUAUGCCCCGAAACCCUCGGGCCACACGCGGGCUGCAAUGGUAAGGACAAUGAGUUUCGAUUCCGAAAGGAGGAGGCAAUCUCU